AAAUGAGGGAGAGGGAAGGACAUCACAGGCAAAAAAAAAAGACUCUCAGUCUCACCUCUCUCUCACCCACGGCUCUCCCACACACACACGGCACAUACAGCACAAACCCAGUAACCACACACUCAUCACCCACACACUUCAUACACCACACCACACUACCCAUGUGCACAACACACACUCAACACCGCCACUGCCAUCCCAACACACACCAUACAACACACCCAGCCACCCAUAUACCUCUCUCCCUCCCUCACGGCAGGCACACCCAGCUCACGGACAACACAGACAGACACGACACAGCACAACACUCGCACUCAGAUGCACACGGGAUGAUACACUUACGGCAUGACUCACUCACAACACACGCACACAGUACCAUGCACACCUAAAGGCACACCCAUCACCACCAAACCCAGCCAACAAACACACACACCUCUCUCUCACUCACGGCACCCAUACACCUCCCAUGCACACACCCACGGGAUUGAUCUGCUCACACACGGCUACACACACAAACAGACCCAACAGACACCCAGCGAACCCAUACAUACAGGGAGCACAGCGGACUCAUACACGGCAGACUCAUCCAUCUCUGGUCUCUCUCUGUGGAGCUGAGAACACACUCAACACACACACGGUUUAGAGAGAGAGAGGUUAGGGAGAGAAAGGUAAGAAAGAGAGAGAGGCCAUGCACCCAAUACACACACACCCACACCAUUCACACAUGCAUGACACACACAGCAUACUCACACACAUGCACAAGGCCAACGGCUUUCUCUCCCUCCAGGUUACAUCUCUCUCUCUCUCUCUUUCUCUCUCUCUACAAUGGAUAUAGACACACAGAGAAAUAGAAGCUGAAUUCAAGGAUGAGCAAAGUGUCCGUGGGCCACCUUAUGUGAUUAAGCCAAGGUUCAUAUUUUAUUGGGCUGGUUGAACAAUCCAGCACUUGGAGAAAAAUCAUGGUUAUUGGGCCGUAAAGUUAUGGGAUUUUGGUGCUGUAGAAUAAUAACCCAUGUGGAUAUCAUUCACGCUGGGUUGGUGCAUUUUUGAUUGGCUGGUGGUUUGGUCUUGAAGAGGUCGGGCCGGCUUGACAGUGGGCCGUUUUGUUUGAGCAUUGAUGGGGCCUCCAUUGAAGAUGAGUUUACAUGGGCUGAGGCGUGAAGACAAAUAGUUUGUUUUGCUAAUUAAUGAUUUUUUAUUUUUAUUUUUUUAUUUUUAUUUUGAGUGUUUGUGAGGAUUUAAUUUUAUUCAUCUCUCUCAGAUUUGUAAUAUUUAAAAUGAUUGUAAUAAUUCCCCCACCCCGCUUCUUUCUAUCCCAUUCUUUAAUCGCUUUCUCUAACUGACACGCCAUGCAUAUCCCUGCUUUACAUC